rnacentral:rRNA from 1 species
UACGGAAGGGGCAAGCGUUGUUCGGAAUUAUUGGGCGUAAAGGGCGCGUAGGUGGUCUUGUAUGUCUAUCGUGAAAGCACACGGCUCAACCGUGUAACGUCGGUGGAAACUGCAGGACUUGAGGUUGGGAGGGGCUGGUGGAAUUCCCUGUGUAGCGGUGAAAUGCGUAGAGAUGGGGGAGAACACUUGUGGCGAAGGCGGCCAGCUGGACCAAUCCUGACACUGAGGCGCGACAGCGUGGGGAGCAAACAGG